UACAGAGGGUGCUAGCGUUGUUCGGAAUCAUUGGGCGUAAAGCGCACGUAGGCGGAUUGCUAAGUCAGGGGUGAAAUCCUGGAGCUCAACUCCAGAACUGCCCUUGAUACUGGCGGUCUCGAGUCCGGGAGAGGUGAGUGGAACUGCGAGUGUAGAGGUGAAAUUCGUAGAUAUUCGCAAGAACACCAGUGGCGAAGGCGGCUCACUGGCCCGAUACUGACGCUGAGGUGCGAAAGCGUGGGGAGCAAACAGG
rnacentral:rRNA from 1 species